rnacentral:rRNA from 1 species
UUGUCGAUUCCUGCAAUAGCAGAACGACCCGGUAACAUGUCAAAAUACUGGGUGAGCAGCGGGGGGCUUUGAGUGCGCUGUCUGCGAACCCCUGGACGACGGGCACUUUUUUGUGCAAAUCGGCCAACAAAAUUAAUUGGGCGUGGAAUGCGCCAAGGAAAAUAAAUAGAAUUGUACGUUAGCUUCCCGUUUGCGGGCAGUGGCGUCUUUCCGAAACACAAACGACUCUCGGCAACGGAUAUCCCGGCUCUCGCAUCGAUGAAGAACGUAGCGAAAUGCGAUACUUGGUGUGAAUUGCAGAAUCCCGUGAACCAUCGAGUCUUUGAACGCAAGUUGCGCCCGAAGCCAUCUGGUUGAGGGCACGUCUGCCUGGGUGUCACGUAUUGUCCCGCCCCCUACCGCGCGCUCAUUGAGCUGCGCUGGUUCGGGGCGGAUACUGGCCUCCCGUGCCAAUUUGCGCGGCUGGCACAAAAAUGAGUCUCCGGCGACAGAUGUCGUGACAUUGGUGGUUGUAAAAAGACCUUUUCAUGUUGCGCGAAUAUUUGUAACCUUAGGGAGCUUGAGGACCCUUUAGCGCCACCCUCCAGGAGCGCUCCAAUUGUGACC